GCGCGCAUAAAGAUAUUUAGCUGGAGUGCGUUCAUAAAGAUACUCUGAGUCUACUCUAGGUCUAUAGUCGUUCAUAAAGCCGUCCAAAUGAACGUGCACAAAUUGUGCGACUGUUCAUAAAUUGUCGCGUGAUAUACCCGGAGUGUUCGUGAAUCGCCGUGCUCAAAAGUCCGGCGUUUUUCACCGGACAUGCGCAUUCGUAUUUGGUUUGACGCUGUCAACCAUUUGACACCUUGUUGAUGUUUUUGCGGUUUUUGCACUACCUGCUCUGAAUUGAAUUUGCAUACAAGAACUUUUUUCAUGGGCUAUGACUGUUAUUUUGCGGUCACUUAUUCUAAUAUAAAAGUGUUCAAACUAUUCCAAACAUUAGAUUAUAAAAUUAAAACUAUGAGUAGCUGUGAGGAAAAGUUAAAACAGGUGUUCACUGAAAACGGUGAACCUUUGAAAACCGAUGAAGGCUAUUUGGUGUUUCAGCAGCAGGCAGAUGGCUGCCUUGUCAUUGUGGAAAAUAAUGAUGCUGGGUCUGCUUCGACUUCAAAUUCAGAUAAAAGAACGGCUGAUAAAAGAAUCAAAUGGUGCCAUAAUGCAAUUAUCAACCUAAUUGCAUUUCGGAAAGAGUUGGACCCGGAAUUUCGUUCAACAACCCAGAAAAACGAAGUGGUUUGGAAAAAACUUGCAUCGAAAAUGAAAGAAAUGGGUUUUAUGUACACUUCGGUACAAUGCAACGACAAGUGGCGCUAUUUAAAAAGUAGAUAUGCUACAAAAAAAGAUAAUAUGGGCAAUAGAGGAAGUGGGGAAGAUCGAAUGGAUUUUGAAUAUUUCGAGAGCAUGGAUGAUUUUUUGGGAAAAAAGCAUUCUAUAUCACCAAUUGCGAUCGCUUCCUCAUCGCGAGGGGAUACCAUACCCACCGAUGUGGAGGAGCAAGAUUUGCCUGAAGAGGCAACGCCCCCCAAACAAUUAAAAGUUAAAAGUAGAAUUAGCGGCAGUAUUAAAGGUAAAAAAACACCGAUGCAAACAAUUAUAGAUACAAUGAAUAAGAAUGUGGAAUCCCGAGAAAGUAGACGCACACAACGUCAUGAAGAACUAUUAGCCUUACGUAGACAAUCGUUGAAUGUAUUUUCCGAUAAAAUGGAUGCUCUUAUUAAAGCAAUAACUGCACCAAAAGAAGAGAAAUAAUGCUUUUCAGUUCAUGUUUGUUUUUUUCGUUUAUUACUUGCGAUUUGUGACUGACUAUUAAAAUAAGAGUUUUUGUUUUGUUUUUGUAUUUUAUAUGAAUAUGUCUAAAUACUAAAUAUAAUUU